AUUACCGAGUUUACAACUCCCAAACCCCUGUGAACAUACCAUUUGUUGCCUCGGCGGUGCCUGCUUCGGCAGCCCGCCAGAGGACCCAAACCCUUGAUUUUAUACAGUAUCUUCUGAGUAAAUGAUUAAAUAAAUCAAAACUUUCAACAACGGAUCUCUUGGUUCUGGCAUCGAUGAAGAACGCAGCGAAAUGCGAUAAGUAAUGUGAAUUGCAGAAUUCAGUGAAUCAUCGAAUCUUUGAACGCACAUUGCGCCCGCCAGUAUUCUGGCGGGCAUGCCUGUUCGAGCGUCAUUUCAACCCUCAAGCCCCCGGGCUUGGUGUUGGAGAUCGGCGUGCCCCCCGGGGCGCGCCGCCUCCCAAAUAUAGUGGCGGUCUCGCUGUAGCUUCCUCUGCGUAGUAGCACACCUCGCACUGGAAAACAGCGUGGCCACGCCGUUAAACCCCCCACUUCUGAAAGGUUGACCUCGGAUCAGGUAGGAAUACCCGCUGAACUUAAGCAUAUCAAUAAGCGGAGGAAAAGAAACCAACAGGGAUUGCCCUAGUAACGGCGAGUGAAGCGGCAACAGCUCAAAUUUGAAAUCUGGCCCUCGGGUCCGAAUUGUAAUUUGUAGAGGAUGCUUUUGGUGAGGUACCUUCCGAGUUCCCUGGAACGGGACGCCAUAGAGGGUGAGAGCCCCGUCUGGUCGGAUACCGAUCCUCUGUAAAGCUCCUUCGACGAGUCGAGUAGUUUGGGAAUGCUGCUCUAAAUGGGAGGUAUAUGUCUUCUAAAGCUAAAUAUUGGCCAGAGACCGAUAGCGCACAAGUAGAGUGAUCGAAAGAUGAAAAGCACUUUGAAAAGAGAGUUAAAAAGUACGUGAA
rnacentral:rRNA from 1 species